rnacentral:sRNA from 1 species
AACCAAUUCAUUACCAAGAACAAAAGUGUCAGAGAGGAAGCAGGAAAUUAUUGAAUUCACUGUGAGGUAAAAAGAGACUGAACAUUGGGCUGGAGCCCCACUGUGCGAAUUGAAGCCCUGACAUGACCAUGAAACUGGUAUUCAGACAGAGUUGUUUGUACAGUACCUUGAAGUACUCUGAGUAAUUAUAGUCUAUCUUCAAUCAAGAAUAUCGAUCAAUGCCCUCAGCGACUAACAUUCUUGAAAUAAAGAUCAUCCAAUAUUUC